rnacentral:rRNA from 1 species
CCUAACCUACGGGAGGCAGCAGUGAGGAAUAUUGGUCAAUGGGCGCGAGCCUGAACCAGCCAAGUCGCGUGAGGGAAGACGGUCCUAUGGAUUGUAAACCUCUUUUGUCGGGGAGCAAAAGACGCCACGUGUGGCGUUCCGAGAGUACCCGAAGAAAAAGCAUCGGCUAACUCCGUGCCAGCAGCCGCGGUAAUACGGAGGAUGCGAGCGUUAUCCGGAUUUAUUGGGUUUAAAGGGUGCGCAGGCGGAAGAGCAAGUCAGCGGUAAAAUUGAGAGGCUCAACCUCUUCGAGCCGUUGAAACUGG